UACGAAGGGGGCUAGCGUUGCUCGGAAUCACUGGGCGUAAAGGGUGCGUAGGCGGGUCUUUAAGUCAGGGGUGAAAUCCUGGAGCUCAACUCCAGAACUGCCUUUGAUACUGAAGAUCUUGAGUUCGGGAGAGGUGAGUGGAACUGCGAGUGUAGAGGUGAAAUUCGUAGAUAUUCGCAAGAACGCCGGUGGCGAAAGCGGCGUGCUGGACCUUUACUGACGCUGAGGCGCGAAAGCCAGGGGAGCGAACGGG
rnacentral:rRNA from 1 species